UACGUAGGGUGCGAGCGUUAAUCGGAAUUACUGGGCGUAAAGGGUGCGUAGGCGGACUCUUAAGUCAGGGGUGAAAGCCUGAGGCUCAACCUCAGAACUGCCUUUGAUACUGAGAGUCUCGAGACCGGAAGAGGUAAGUGGAACUGCGAGUGUAGAGGUGAAAUUCGUAGAUAUUCGCAAGAACACCAGUGGCGAAGGCGGCUUACUGGUCCGGUUCUGACGCUGAGGCACGAAAGCGUGGGGAGCAAACAGG
rnacentral:rRNA from 1 species